rnacentral:rRNA from 1 species
UACGAGGGGGGCAAGCGUUGUUCGGAAUUAUUGGGCGUAAAGGGUGCGUAGGCGGUUUGGUAAGUCGGAUGUGAAAUCCCUCGGCUCAACUGAGGAAGUGCAUCCGAAACUGGCAGGCUUGAGUACUAAAGAGGGUCGCGGAAUUCCCGGUGUAGAGGUGAAAUUCUUAGAUAUCGGGAGGAACACCGGUGGCGAAGGCGGCGACCUGGGUAGAUACUGACGCUGAGGUGCGAAAGCGUGGGGAGCGAACAGG